rnacentral:lncRNA from 1 species
GAGAGGGGAGGAUAAGUGGAGAAGGGGAGAAGGAGAGAAGAGAAGGAGAGAAGAGGAGAAGGAGAGAGGAGUAGAAGGGGAGAAGGAGAGAAGGGGAGAAGGAGAGAGGAGGAGAAGGAGAGAGGAGUAGAAGGAGAGAACUAGAAGGGGAGAACGAGUGAAAGGGAGAAGGAGAGAGGAGGAGAAGGGGACAAGGAGAGAAGGGGAAAAGGAGAGAAGGGGAGAAGGGUGAAAGAAAGAGGAGGAGAAGGGGAGAAGGAGAGAAGGGGAGAAGGGGAGAAAGAAAGAGGAGGAGAAGGGGAGAAGGAGAGAGGAGGAGAAGGAGAGAGGACAUUCAUACAGAUUCUCCUGAUUGCCACUCGGUCACUCCUCAGCAACGGCCAGGCUCUCUGACAAUUACAGCUCCUCUCUCCAAUACCGCUGGUUUCCAAAGCACAAAGGAACAAUGUGCGUGUGCGUGCGUGUGCGUGCGUGUGUAUGUGUGUGUGUGUGUCUGUGUGUGUGUGUGUCCAUCACCAGACACCCGAGCACACCAACUCCAUUGGCACCCAUAACUACACUUGCUUCUCAACACCAAGUGGCCAUGACUGGCAGGUAAUGACUAGCAGGUAAUGACUGGCAGGUAAUGACUGGCAGGUAAUGACUGGCAGGUAAUGACUGGCAGGUAAUGACUGGCAGGUAAUGACUGGCAGGUAAUGACUGACAGGUAAUGACUAGCAGGUAAUGACUGACAGGCAAUGACUAAAAGGUAAAGACUGGCAGGUAAUGACAGGCAGGUAAUGACUAGCAGGUAAUGACUGACAGGUAAUGACUGACCGGUAAAGACUGGCAGGUAAUGACUAACAGGUAAAGACUAACAGGUAAUGACUAGCAGGUAAUGACUGACAGGUAAUGACUAGCAGGUAAUGACUGACAGGUAAUGACUAGCAGGUAAUGACUGGCAGGUAAUGACUAGCAGGUAAUGACUGACAGGUAGUGACUAACAGGUAAAGACUGGCAGGUAAUGACUAGCAGGUAAUGACUAGCAGGUAAUGACUAGCAGGUAAUGACUGACAGGUAAAGACUGGCAGGUAAUGACUGACAGGUAAAGACUGGCAGGUAAUGACUAGCAGCGGUUAGCAGCCAUAAAGGUAACGACUGGCAGCGGUUAGCAGCCAUAAAAGUAAUGGCUGGUAGUGGUCAGCAGUGGCUAGAUAUAAUGACUGGUAGAAGUCAGCAGUGGCUACAUGUAAUGACUGGUAGAAGUCAGCAGUGGCUAGAUGUAAUGACUGGUAGAAGUCAGCAGUGGCUAGAUGUAAUGACUGGCAGAAGUCAGCA